rnacentral:rRNA from 1 species
CCUGGCCUUGACAUACUAAGAACUUUCCAGAGAUGGAUUGGUGCCUUCGGGAACUUUAGAUACAGGUGCUGCAUGGCUGUCGUCAGCUCGUGUCGUGAGAUGUUGGGUUAAGUCCGCAACGAGCGCAACCCUUUUCCUUAUUUGCCAGCGGGUAAUGCCGGGAACUUUAAGGAUACUGCCAGUGACAAACUGGAGGAAGGCGGGGACGACGUCAAGUCAUCAUGGCCCUUACGGCCAGGGCUACACACGUGCUACAAUGGUCGGUACAAAGGGUUGCUACCUCGCGAGAGGAUGCUAAUCUCAAAAAGCCGAUCGUAGUCCGGAUCGCAGUCUGCAACUCGACUGCGUGAAGUCGGAAUCGCUAGUAAUCGCGGAUCAGAAUGCCGCGGUGAAUACGUUCCCGGGCCUUGUACACACCGCCCGUCACACCAUGGGAGUUUGUUGCACCAGAAGUAGGUAGUCUAACCGCAAGGAGGACGCUUACCACGGUGUGGCCGAUGACUGGGGUGAAGUCGUAACAAGGUAAGCGUAGAUGA